rnacentral:rRNA from 1 species
GACAGAGGGGGCAAGCGUUGCUCGGAAUUACUGGGCGUAAAGGGCGCGUAGGCGGGAUGGCAAGUCGGUCGUGAAAUACCUCGGCUCAACUGAGGAGCGUCGAUCGAAACUGCCGUUCUUGAGGGUUGCAGAGGAGACUGGAAUUCCCGGUGUAGCGGUGAGAUGUGUAGAGAUCGGGAGGAACACCGGUGGCGAAGGCGGCCCCCUGGUUGGAUACUGACGCUGAGACGCGAAAGCGUGGGGAGCAAACAGG